rnacentral:lncRNA from 1 species
AAGAAACAAGCUGAUGAAACCGAAGCUAUUCUAGACAAGACACCUGGAGGAAAAAAAGGGAGAAUAUGCACUUCGACUUUUCAUAAAGGUGUUGUGUCAUUAUUAAGUUUUUGCCGACGAAUGCAACAUACGGUACCUUAUAUGUGUCAUUUAUAUUUGAAUCUAACAUGAACAGGGCAAGAAGUUGCGGCGCCUAUCCAACAUUUUAGGUUGACGUGACCCUGAAUAUGUUUC